rnacentral:rRNA from 1 species
CCUGAGUACGACGGAGCACGUGAAAUUCCGUCGGAAUCUGGGAGGACCAUCUCCUAAGGCUAAAUACUCUCUAGUGACCGAUAGUGAACCAGUACCGUGAGGGAAAGGUGAAAAGUACCCCGGAAGGGGAGUGAAAGAGAACUUGAAACCGUGUGCUUACAAGUAGUCAGAGCCCGUUAAUGGGUGAUGGCGUGCCUUUUGUAGAAUGAACCGGCGAGUUACGAUCUGAUGCAAGGUUAAGCAGAAAAUGUGGAGCCGUAGCGAAAGCGAGUCUGAAUAGGGCGAAUGAGUAUUUGGUCGUAGACCCGAAACCAGGUGAUCUACCCUUGGUCAGGUUGAAGUUCAGGUAACACUGAAUGGAGGACCGAACCGACUUACGUUGAAAAGUGAGCGGAUGAACUGAGGGUAGCGGAGAAAUUCCAAUCGAACUUGGAGAUAGCUGGUUCUCUCCGAAAUAGCUUUAGGGCUAGCCUCAAGUGAUGAUUAUUGGAGGUAGAGCACUGUUUGGACGAGGGGCCCCUCUCGGGUUACCGAAUUCAGACAAACUCCGAAUGCCAAAUAAUUUAACUUGGGAGUCAGAAUGUGGGUGAUAAGGUCCAUAUUCGAAAGGGAAACAGCCCAGACCACCAGCUAAGGUCCCAAAAUAUAUGUUAAGUGGAAAAGGAUGUGGCGUUGCCCAGACAACUAGGAUGUUGGCUUAGAAGCAGCCAUCAUUUAAAGAGUGCGUAAUAGCUCACUAGUCGAGUGACACUGCGCCGAAAAUGUACCGGGGCUAAACAUAUUACCGAAGCUGUGGAUUGUCCUUUGGACAAUGGUAGGAGAGCGUUCUAAGGGCGUUGAAGCAUGAUCGCAAGGACAUGUGGAGCGCUUAGAAGUGAGAAUGCCGGUGUGAGUAGCGAAAGACGGGUGAGAAUCCCGUCCACCGAUUGACUAAGGUUUCCAGAGGAAGGCUCGUCCGCUCUGGGUUAGUCGGGUCCUAAGCUGAGGCCGACAGGCGUAGGCGAUGGAUAACAGGUUGAUAUUCCUGUACCACCAUUAUUCGUUUUAAGCGAUGGGGGGACGCAGUAGGAUAGGCGAAGCGUGCUGUUGGAGUGCACGUCCAAGCAGUGAGAUUGAGUGUUAGGCAAAUCCGGCACUCUUAAGAUUGAGCUGUGAUGGGGAGAGGAACUUGUUCCUCGAGUCGUUGAUUUCACACUGCCGAGAAAAGCCUCUAGCUAGAAUAACGGUGCCCGUACCGCAAACCGACACAGGUAGUCAAGAUGAGAAUUCUAAGGUGAGCGAGCGAACUCUCGUUAAGGAACUCGGCAAAAUGACCCCGUAACUUCGGGAGAAGGGGUGCUCUUUGAGGUUCACGCUUCGAAGAGCCGCAGUGAAUAGGCCCAAGCGACUGUUUAUCAAAAACACAGGUCUCUGCUAAACCGUAAGGUGACGUAUAGGGGCUGACGCCUGCCCGGUGCUGGAAGGUUAAGAGGAGUGGUUAGCGCAAGCGAAGCUACGAAUCGAAGCCCCAGUAAACGGCGGCCGUAACUAUAACGGUCCUAAGGUAGCGAAAUUCCUUGUCGGGUAAGUUCCGACCCGCACGAAAGGCGUAACGAUUUGGGCACUGUCUCAACGAGAGACUCGGUGAAAUCAUAGUACCGGUGAAGAUGCCGGUUACCCGCGACAGGACGGAAAGACCCCGUGGAGCUUUACUGUAGCCUGAUAUUGAAAUUCGGUACAGUUUGUACA